CAUUGAAACACCUGUUCUCAUAUAAUCACUGAAGUUAAGUAAUGUCAAGCCUGGUCAGUACCUAGAUGGGUGACAGCUUGAGAAUAUCAGGUGCUGUAAG